rnacentral:rRNA from 1 species
UACAGAGGGUGCGAGCGUUGUUCGGAAUUACUGGGCGUAAAGCGCGCGCAGGCGGCCUUUUAAGUCUACCCGUGAAAGUCCAGGGCUCAACCCUGGGAUGCCGGUGGAUACUGUCGAGCUCGAGUCCGGAAGAGGCGAGUGGAAUUCCUGGUGUAGCGGUGAAAUGCGCAGAUAUCAGGAGGAACACCAAUGGCGAAGGCAGCUCGCUGGGACGUGACUGACGCUGAGACGCGAAAGCGUGGGGAGCAAACAGG